GGGGAUUUAGCUCAGCGGCAUAAGCGCCUGCCUUGCAAGCAGGCAGUCGUGAGUUCAAUCCCCA
rfam:Cavia porcellus supercont2_39 genomic scaffold, whole genome shotgun sequence.